GUGCUCUUGCGAUUGCAUCAGAUGCAAGCAGCACCCUUCCGCAGAAGUAAAGUUGCCUUGCUGAAGAAUUUUUGGUCUAAGUGCUGGCUCUUCUUUGUGGACCAAACACCUGUCUCCAACAAUCUGGGGGCUUGUCUGGGAUUCCAUUAUCCUCCAGGGAAGGGUCUCCGAUCAUCUCUCAUGAGGAGACACAUCCUGCUGCCUUGUCACAGUUGCCUCAGGAGUAAGGGAUCGAGACCCAUCUGGCAUGACGAAUAAACCCGGACUCUCAGCAAUGCAGAGAAAGAAAAAGUCUACAAAUAAAUACAGUGGCAACCAGGUAACUCUGAGCACAGACCAAGGACUCAAGGCCUCCUAGCACAAACUCCACCCCUUGAAUUCCCAGUUCACCAACACCAACCCAGAGAUCACGUCCUUAUCAAAAGCUGGAAAUAGGGAAAGCUCGAACCCACCUGGGAAGGACCUUAUUUGGUGCUCCUAAUGACUGAGACGGCAGUCCAGACCGCUGAAAAGUGGUGGACCCAUUAUACCAGAGUCAAAAAAGCAUUGCCCUCUCCAGAAUCAUGGACUGUCACUCCAGGAACAACAGCCUCAAAAUCAACAUUCAAGUGGGUUUAAUCUAUCUUUUUCUUCUCUCCUUAGCUACUCAAGGAUAUCUUAUUAUCAGUGUAACUCAAUCACCCUUUCCCCAAACAGUUACAUUUGAUGCUUGUCUAGUCUUACCUUGUGGAGAUCUUCAAAGUCAAAGGCAGCUAGCCUCUGCAGAAAAAUACCCCUGUCCCUCCAAGGAAAACACUACUACUACUGUGUCUUGUGUGUGGUGGGAAUCUUCAGAGGAAGAGUCAGGUAAUUGGGAGUUAUGUUCACAGUGGGCAGACGUUCUAUGGACUACUAAAAAUCAGGGUUGGACCUCCUGACAGGGUUGCACUGCCCUAAAGCCACACCUACACUUCACCAAAGGGACUACCCCCUCUAAUUGCCAAUCUAACCAUUGCAACCCAGUACUUAUCUCUAUUAAUACCCUUACCUUCACCAUUCCCACACCCACUGUAGAGCGAUUUUAUGGCUAAGGGGCAGAUGUUGCUGGAAGGGACCCUAUAGGCUUCUUUAAAUUAUGCUUUGUUCCUUCCCCUUCGUCUCCCACCCCCUCCUCGAUCCCACAAAUUCAAACCAUUUCCCACCUCAUACCCAACGACAAAACCAAAGUAUCGUAAUAGAAAUCAAAAAUUUAAAGCAAACUUUAGCCAUUGAAAUAGGGUACCAAGAUGCAAAUGCCUGGCUGGAAUGGAUUAAAUAUUCUGUCCACACACUACACAAAAGCGAUUUUUAUGCUUGUGCGACAGGCAGGCCAGAAACCCAAAUUGUCCCCUUUCCUCUGACCAACCGGGCAUGGACUGUAUGUAUGGUAGCCCUCUUCCAAAACCCCACAGCCUGGGGCAAUAAGGCAUGUCUAACCCUCUCCCUACUAUUCCCAGAAGUUAAAAGCCCUGCAGGUCUGCCCCUGAGGGCCAUUCGGACUCCGGCUACAAAUGUCAAUUUCACCUCGUGUCUCUCAUGGCAUGGGGAAAACUUGGCAUUCCUUAGGAGCUUAACAGGGUGCAGCACACCUAAGCCUUUUCAAGAGCUAACCAAUCAGUCUGCCCUUGUUCAUCCCUAAGCAGAUGUAUGGUGGUAUUGCGGUGGACCACUAUUGGGUACUCUGCCAAGUAACUGGAGCAGCACUUGUGCUCUAAUCAAAUUGGCCAUCCCUUUCACCCUGGAAUUUCAUCAACCAAACAAAAAGGACAACUACAGAAAAAGAAGUGUCCCCCAUGGGUCUUUUGACCCUCAUGUUUAUAUAGAUGCUAUCGGAGUUCCCCGAGGGGUGCCCAGUGAAUUUAAAGCCUGAAAUCAAAUUACCACAGGAUUUGAAUCUGUAUUAUUCUGGUGGUCAACUACAAACAAACAUGUAGACUGGAUAAAUUACAUUUACUAUAAUCGACAGCGGUUUGUCAAUUACACAAGCGAUGCCAUUAAAGGAAUAGCUGAGAAAUUAGGCCCCACCAGCCAAAUGGCUUGGGGAAACAGGAUAGCCCUUGACAUGUUAUUGGCUGAAAAAGGCAGAGUCUGUGUCAUGAUUGGAGUCCAAUGUUGCACUUUUAUCCCUAUUAACACAGCCCCUAAUGGAACAAUUACAAAAGCAUUACAGGGCCUUACAAGUGAAUUAGCUGAAAAUCCCGGAAUAAAUGGCCCCUUUUCAGGUCUUAUGGAAAAAUGGUUUGGAAAAUGGAAAUGACUCAUGACCUCAAUAUUUACUUCUCUUGCAGUUGUUACAGGUGUACUCAUUCUUGUAGGUUGCUGUAUUACACCUUCUGUUCAUGGGUUGGUGCAAAGGCUUACAGAAACAGCUCUUACUAAAACCUCCCUCAAUUCUUCCCCACCCUAUUCAGAUAAACUCCCACUUCUAGAUCACCAAGAGGAACAACAGAGCCAAAUUAUGUUUGAAAAAUUUGAAGAGGAAAAACUAUAAAGAGGGGGGAUAUUGCCAGAAACAAUAAGUUCCUCUUCAAACUUCGUUGUUCUUUCUGGUUCUGUAAACAACCCUUCCCACCUAAUUGGUAACAGGAACAGCCUCUCCCUUCCUGCCUAAUAGGCCCUAUUCAAUUUCAAACAAUAGCCAAUCGGGUUUAGAUUGUGUGGUCCAACUCUAGUUACUGGGGAAAGGACACAGAAACAUGAGCUGCAUUAGGGGUAAAAACCCCUGCCCUAGCCCCCUUGGUGUGCUCUUGCAAUUGCUUCAGAUGCAAGUAGCACCCUUCUGCAGAAGUAAAGUUGUCUUGCUGAGGAAUUUUCAGUCUAAGUGCUAGUUCUUCUUUGUGGCACCCAACACCUGUUCCCAACAAUGAGAAUAUCAACAAAUAGAAAAUAUAACAAAGAACCAAACAGAAAUGAAGAUAAAGAUACAAUAAUGAAAAUUAAAAAUUCACUGGAAGUGUUUGACAUAUUAUUUGAUUCCAUUCUUCCUAAAUAUGAUUUCAAUCUUCUUAAAUGUAUUCAGUCCUGUUUUGUGACCUAUCCUGGAAAUAUGUGAUGUGAUCUAUCCUGGAGAAUGUUCUGUGUGCACUUGAGAAGAUUACAUAUUUUUCUUUUGUUAAUUGAAAAAUUCUGUAUAUGGCUAUUACAUCAAUUUAAAGUCCACUAUUUUGUUAUUGAUUUUCUAUCUGGAUUUUCUAUUUUUUAUUGAAAGUGGGGUACUGAAUUAUUCUACCAUUACACUAUUGCUGUCCAUUUCUCCUUUCAGAUAUUUUGAUAUUUGUUCUAUAUACUUAGGUAGUCUAAUAGUAGGUACAUAUGUAUUUACAAUUGCUGUUAUCUUCCUGUUGAAUUCACCCUUUUAUCAUUAUGUAAUGACUUUGUCUCCUGGGACAGUUUUUGACUUAAAUUCUAAUUUGUGCUAUAUAAGAAUGGCCACUACUGCUUUCUUUUGAGGGCUAUUUACAUGGGAUAUCUGUUUUCAACCCUUCACUGUCAGCCUGCGUCCAGAAUUGGUGGGUUCUUGGUCUCACUGACUUCAAGAAUGAAGCUGCGGACCCUCACGGUGAGUGUUACAGUUCUUAAAGAUGGUGUGUCCGGAGUUUGUUCCUGCUGAUGUUCGGUCGUGUUCAGAGUUUCUUCCUUCUGGUGGGUUCGUGGUCUCACUGGCUUCAGGAGUGAAGCUGCAGACCUUCACGAGUGUUACAGCUCUUAAGGCGGCACGUCUGGAGUUGUUCAUUCCUCCCAGUGGGUUCGUGGUCUCACUGGCUUCAGGAGUGAAGCUGCAGACCUUUGCGGUGUUACAGCUCAUAAAGGUGGCGUGGACCCAAAGAGUGAGCAGCUGCAAGAUUUAUUGUGAAGAGCAAAAGAUCAAGGCUUCCACAGCGUUGAAGGGGACCCGAACACGUUGCCACUGCUCGCUGGGGCAGCCUGCUUUUAUUCCCUUAUCUGACCCCACCCACAUCCUGCUGAUUGGUCCAUUUUACAGAGAGCUGAUUGGCCCAUUUUACAGAGAGCUGAUCGGGCCAUUUUACAGAGAGCUGAUUGGUCUGUUUUGACAGAGAGCUGAUUGGUGCAUUUACAAUCCCUGAGCUAGACACAGAGUGCUGAUUGGUACAUUUACAAUCCUUUAGCUAGACACAAAGUUCUCCAAGUCCCCACUAGAUUAGCUAGACACAGAGCACUGAUUGGUGCAUUUACAAACCUUGAGCUAGACACAAAGUGCUGAUUGGUGCAUUUACAAUCCUUUAGCUAGGCAUUAAAAGUUCUCCAAGUCCCCACCCAACUCAGGAGCCCAGCUGGCUUUGCCUAGUGGAUCCCGUGCCGGGGCCGCGGGUGGAGCUGCCUGCCAGUCCCAUGCCAUGCGCCUGCACUCCUCAGCCCUUGGGCAGUUGAUGGGACUGGGCACUGCAGAGCAGGGGGCGGUGCCCGUUGGGGAGGCUCGGGCCGUGUGGGAGCCCAUGGGGGCAGUGGGCUGGGGGAGGCUCAAAUAUGGCAGGCUGCAGGUCCCAAGCUGCGCUCUGCGGGGAGGCAGCUGGGGCCCGGUGAGAAUUCAAGUGUGGUGCAGGCGGGCCGGCACUGCUGGGGGACCCGGCACACCCUCUGCGGCUGCUGGCCCAGGUGCUAAGCCCCUCAUUGCCUGGGGCUGGUGGCGCUAGCCGGCCACUCUGAGUGCAGGGCCUGCCGAGCUCGUGCCCACCUGGAACUCGCGCUGGCCCACGAGCGCCGUGUGCAGCCCCACUUCCCGCCCGCGCCUCUCCCUCCACACCUCCCCACAAGCAGAGGGAGCCGGCUCUGGCCUCAGCCAGCCCAGAGAGGGGCUCCCACAGUGAAGCUGCGGGCUGAAUGGCUCCUCAAGCAUGGCUAGAGUGGACGCCGAGGCCGAGGAGGUGCUGAGAGUGAGUGAGGGCUGCUAGCACGUUGUCACCUCUCAAGCCUAUGUGUGUCCUUGAAUCUAGUAUUUACUAUUGCCGUUUUGUUAACUAUUUUUUGUUUGUCUUGUAGUUCCUUUGACUCUCUGUUUCUCUCUUGCUGUCUUCCCCAGUGUUUUGGUCUUUUUAUAUUUGAUGCAGAAAAUUAAAGAAAGGAAAAUAAAAUUAAAAGAGAAAAGCAAGUUUUCCUGUUUUAGGCUGUCUCAUCCCAAAAAGCAGUAACAGACACAGCCCAGGCCCAGGCAAGGUCCUGAUAACACAAUCUAAGAAGUCAAGACCCAAAAGGAAUGUGCUCUGGAGACUCUCCCAGCACUCCCCAACAUAAGGAUAAGAAAAACAAAUUCCUCUUUUAGCCCUUUACCCCUUCUCCAUAAAUAUUUUGCAAGUUUUCUAAGUUCCUGUUUCUCCUUUGAUGCAGCUGCAAAGUCACAAGCUAUGCUAGAGAUUAUGAGACCUGUCACUGUUUAAUUAACUGUCUUUGUUCUGCUUCUGUAAGCUUGCUUAUAAAAAUCAAGCCCUGUCUUUGUUCCAGGCUCAGUUUUUUGGAUGUGAAAAAACCUGGAUCCACUGAGCUGGUGUACACCUUAAUAAAAGUCCUCCUGUAACACCUA